rnacentral:rRNA from 1 species
GACGAACCGUGCGAACGUUAUUCGGAAUCACUGGGCUUAAAGGGCGCGUAGGCGGGCCGGAUAGUCAGGGGUGAAAGCCUCCAGCCCAACUGGAGAAGCGCCUUUGAUACUGUCGGCCUCGAGGGGUGCAGGGGCAUGCGGAACUCAGGGUGGAGCGGUGAAAUGCGUAGAUAUCCUGAGGAACACCGGUGGCGAAAGCGGCGUGCUGGACACCUUCUGACGCUGAGGCGCGAAAGCCAGGGGAGCGGAACGGG